CCGGUGCCGGUGCAGUUCGGGAGGGCGAAGAGGGACUUGGUGGUGGAGAGCCAUGACAAUGCUUUUGAAGUGAAGGCUGGGGAGCUGAUGUUUGGGUAUCAGCCUUUUGCGACGAAGGAUCCGCGGGUGUUUGACCGAGCGGAGGAGUUUGUGGUGGAUAGGUUUGUUGGGGAAGGGGAGAAGCUGUUGAAAUAUGUGGUGUGGUCGAAUGGGCCGGAGACAGAGGCGGCGACGAUUGAGAACAAGCAGUGUGCGGGGAAGGAUUUUGUUGUGCUGGUUGCGAGAAUGUUGUUGGUGGAGCUGUUUUUGAGGUAUGAUUCGUUUGAUAUUGAGAUUGGGACUUCCCCGUUGGGAUCUUCGGUGAAGAUCACGUCGUUGAAGAUGGCUAGCUUCUGAGCGGUGGCGGGAUUUCAGUCGACGGGUGUGCUAAUAGCACUCGUGCCAUGUGGCGGAAUAUUUGGAACGCUAGUCUGGAGAAGG
rnacentral:misc_RNA from 1 species